UACGUAGGGCGCAAGCGUUAUCCGGAAUUAUUGGGCGUAAAGAGCUCGUAGGCGGUUUGUCGCGUCUGCCGUGAAAGUCCGGGGCUUAACCCCGGAUCUGCGGUGGGUACGGGCAGACUAGAGUGCAGUAGGGGAGACUGGAAUUCCUGGUGUAGCGGUGAAAUGCGCAGAUAUCAGGAGGAACACCGAUGGCGAAGGCAGGUCUCUGGGCUGUAACUGACGCUGAGGAGCGAAAGCAUGGGUAGCGAACAGG
rnacentral:rRNA from 1 species